rnacentral:rRNA from 1 species
UCGUUGUGACAGCGGAGGGAUCAUUA